CGGCCGAACAGGUCCAUCGGGAAAUCUGCCCGCCUAACGGGCAGGCGUCCGGUGGAAACCGUUCGGCUUGGGGCCGGAAGACCCGAGGGGUACGUCCGGGGUAGGAGUGAAAUCCCGUAAUCCUGGACGGACCGCCGGUCGCGAAAGCGCCUCGGGAGGACGGACCCGACGGUCAGGGACGAAAGCUGGGGUCUCGAACCGGAUUAGAUACCCGGGUAGUCCCAGCUGUAAACGAUGCCCGCUAGGUGUGGCGCAGGCUACGAGCCUGCGCUGUGCCGUAGGGAAGCCGAGAAGCGGGCCGCCUGGGAA
rnacentral:rRNA from 1 species